AAGGAUUUAAGUUAAAAAAACUCACAACCUUCAAAGUUGUAAAUAAAGUACAGAGCUCUUUAAGCCUUA
rnacentral:tRNA from 1 species